AUUGAACGCUGGCGACAUGCCUUACACAUGCAAGUCGAACGGCAGCACGGGUGCUUGCACCUGGUGGCGAGUGGCGAACGGGUGAGUAAUACAUCGGAACAUGUCCUGUAGUGGGGGAUAGCCCGGCGAAAGCCGGAUUAAUACCGCAUACGAUCUACGGAUGAAAGCGGGGGACCUUCGGGCCUCGCGCUGUAGGGUUGGCCGAUGGCUGAUUAGCUAGUUGGUGGGGUAAAGGCCUACCAAGGCGACGAUCAGUAGCUGGUCUGAGAGGACGACCAGUCACACUGGGACUGAGACACGGCCCAGACUACUACGGGAGGCAGCAGUGGGGAAUUGUGGACAAUGGGCGAAAGCCUGAUCCAGCAAUGCCGAGUGUGUGAAGAAGGCCUUCGGGUUGUAAAGCACUUUUGUCCGGAAAGAAAUCCUUGGCCCUAAUACGGUCGGGGGAUGACGGUACCGGAAGAAUAAGCACCGGCUAACUACGUG
rnacentral:rRNA from 1 species